rnacentral:rRNA from 1 species
GACCCCGCACAAGCGGCGGAGCAUGCGGCUUAAUUCGAUGAUACCCGUAGAACCUUACCUGGACUUGACAUAUAGGGAAAAGCUAAAGAAAUUUAGUGUGCGUAAGCGCCCUAUACAGGUGGUGCAUGGCUGUCGUCAGCUCGUGUCGUGAGAUGUUGGGUUAAGUCCCGCAACGAGCGCAACCCCCUGUCCUAUGUUGCCAGCAUUUAGUUGGGGACUCAUAGGAGACUGCCGUGAUAAACCGGAGGAAGGUGGGACGACGUCAAGUCAUCAUGCCCCUUAUGUCCAGGGCUGCACGCAUGCUACAAUGGCAAGUACAACGAGUCGCAAUACCGCGAGGUGGGAGCA